rnacentral:lncRNA from 1 species
GGUAAAUCAGUAUUUGCCAGGAGAAUUAGUAUCUUCAGGGCAGUUAGAAGACCAGUGAGUGGGGUCUGUCGGUCGGUGUCUCUGUCUCUGUUGCUGUCUGUCCAUCUAUCCAUCUGCGUACCCGCCCCCCCCCCCCCCCCGCUCCCAGCUCACUAGCGUGCUGAGAGUAUGUGGUGGGGUAGCCCCUGUGUCAGCACUGCAUUGCCAAGCUUAUCCUACCUUUCAGAAACACUUGCUGAGGAAUUGUUACUGCUUAAAUCCACUGUUGUUAAAGUUAGCAUUGGUGGGCAUCAUUUAUUGGGCAUUUUCCUCUGUGCUCUCAUUGGUCCUCCACCCUCAGCUCCCUACUUCCCUUCAGCUACUUCCCUCCCUCCACCAAUACCCCUGUUCUACUGUCCUUGUCCAUUCUCGUCUUCCCACCCUAAGAGCUCCUCAGUUUCCCAGUCUGUUUCUGAUUUGUUCUCUUUGUCCUGGUUUUAGGUUUGAUGACAAAUACACCCUGAAGUUGACCUUCAUCAGUGGAAGGACAAAGCAGCAGCGGGAAGCCGAGUUCACCAAGUCCAUUGCUAAGUUCUUUGACCACAGCGGGACAUUGGUCAUGGAUGCAUACGAACCUGAAAUAUCCAGGCUCCAUGACAGUCUCGCCACAGAAAGAAAAAUAAAAUAGCCAAUUCUAAA